rnacentral:rRNA from 1 species
GACGAACGCUGGCGGCGUGCUUAACACAUGCAAGUCGAACGGAAAGGCCCUGCUUUUGUGGGGUGCUCGAGUGGCGAACGGGUGAGUAACACGUGAGUAACCUGCCCUUGACUUUGGGAUAACUUCAGGAAACUGGGGCUAAUACCGGAUAGGAGCUCCUGCUGCAUGGUGGGGGUUGGAAAGUUUCGGCGGUUGGGGAUGGACUCGCGGCUUAUCAGCUUGUUGGUGGGGUAGUGGCUGACCAAGGCUUUGACGGGUAGCCGGCCUGAGAGGGUGACCGGCCACAUUGGGACUGAGCUACGGCCCAGACUCCUACGGGAGGCAGCAGUGGGGAAUAUUGCACAAUGGGCGGAAGCCUGAUGCAGCAACGCCGCGUGCGGGAUGACGGCCUUCGGGUUGUAAACCGCUUUCGCCUGUGACGAAGCGUGAGUGACGGUAAUGGGUAAAGAAGCACCGGCUAACUACGUG